GUGACCAGGCCCAGGGCUCCUUUGUGGUGGAAGCCAGUGGCUGGGAGCCCACCUGGAGAGUGUGGAGUGGGUGUGGGAGGGAGAGACAGGUGGGCGAGGUGUGGACACUCAACAUAGGAAAGUAUUUGGAGACAGUCACAGUUACACACUCAACAUCUGCUGGCACCUACCCAAGCCCAGAGCUCCCAGAGCCCCGCGGGCCCCCGAGGCACUCCCAGUCAAGCAUGGGAGACAGGCCAGCACACAGGUGAUCCGUGGUCGUGAUAAAUGGUCACAAGGGGCCGUGGGCACCCAGAAAAUGAGCUCCUACUCGGCCUUGGAGCCUGGAUCAGUUCCUCACUCUUCCCGGGGUCAGUAUCACGAGUGUUGCAUCCAGCCAUCAUGUCUCUAGUCUCCUUCAGCCUGGAUCAGUUCCUCACUCUUCCCGGGAGCCUGAGAGUGAGGCCUUUGAAUGAUGCCCUGGACAGAGCUUGGAACAUGAAGGUGAAUACUGUUGUGGGGAGAAUGCAUCCCUUUGCCUGGCUCUGAGCCAGGGCCAGCUUUGGAUCCUGCUAGCCCCAUGGAUAUAGAGAGCCUAGCAUAGAUUCUGGCUUGAAGUAGGUGAAGGAAUGGAUGGAGCAGUCUUCCUGUCCCACUCACAUCAGAUGCCUUUUGAGGAUCAGUACUGAGCAAAGUGCUUUACACAUAGUAGGAACCAACCAUCCAGCCAACCUACCACCCCACCCAUCCACCCACCCACCAACUAACUCACCAACUAACCAACUCACCAACCAACCAACCAACCAACCAACCAACCAACCAACCAGCCUACUAACCAACCAACCAACAAAUCAUCCAACCAAACAACCAACCAACCAACCCACCAAGCAAACCAUCAACCAGCUAUGUAACCCAGUCCAGGAGAGAGCUGAGCAAGAUGUCAUAUUUUUGCCAUAGUUUACUUAUUUCACUUGAGAAUUAGUUAAUUCAACAAACAUUUAUUGAGCAUCUGCUAUGAGCAGUGUCCUUUUGACUCAGUCUUACAGAUUUCUGCCAGAGAAUUUUACCUCUAUUCUGUGAUACUACUUCCCCAGGGGCAAACAGGUGCCAGACUCCCCCAGGGGCAAACAGGAAACAGGUAUCAGGUGCUCGACAGGGGAUGAUUUAAGAGUCUGGCAAUGUAGCUGUAAGAAUGUGGAUCUUUGAUUCAGAAACAAGGGAAACAAGAACUCCAGAUUCUCCAAGUUUAUGAACAAAAGAUAAACUAAUCAUGAGCAAAUAGCAAAACUAAGUAAGCAUAAUACAAAAUUAAUAAGACAUACCUUUUAGAACAAAGUAAAGGAAUUAAUAAUAAACUACUAUUUACUACUGAGAAUUCAACCCUCCUAAACCCUGUUUGGUGAUCGCAUAAUGUUAGUUUAUAUUAUUGCUUAAGAGGGGGCUGAGGUUGCUAAAAUGAGAUUCUCUUCAGUUUAUGCUACCUUCAUUCCUACUGAUGUUUUUUGAGACUCUCUUGGCUUAAAAUAGAGGGAUAGUUCUUAAAUAAAAAAUGGUCUGUCUCUUCUAGGGAUAAAUUUUUCUUUGCUUCAAUUCCUCUUUACUUUCAGAGCCAUGUUAAUACUACUUUAAACUGACUUACUGCUCUUUUUUUUUGAAACAGGGUGCGACUCUGUCACCCAAGCUGGAGUGCAGUAGUACCAUUAUGGUUCACUAAAACCUUUGCCUCCUGGGCUCAAGUGAUCUUCCCACCUCAGCCUCCUAAGUAGCUGGGACACAGUCGUACGCCAACACACCUGCUAAUUUUUGAUAUUUUAUAGAGGCGAGGUUUUGCCAUGUUGCCCAAGCUAAUCUUGAACUCAUGAGAUCAGGUGAUCUGCCCAUCUUGGCCUCCCAAAGUGCUGGAAUUACAGGUGUGAGCCAUUGCACCUGGCUCUGACCUACUACUCUUGAUUGAUAAGCCCUUGUAGAAAGCAAUGGUGGAUGGUGUUGGUCGCCCAUCCAAUUAUUUUCUUUUUGAUUGAAUAUUGAUUUUGAUUGGGGCCAAUGUGCCCAGAACUAGGGAAUAAAUCAGGAUUUAUUUACCAAGACAGUCAUGGUGAUACUAUUCUUCUUAGCAAAGGUCAUGUGAAUGAGAUGUAAGGGAAAGUCGGCUGGGGGAGUCCCGGAAAGUUUGUCUGUUCUUAAGAGAAUGAGAUAAAGAAUGAGAAAGCCCUUUCCCUAAUCCUUCCCUCCUUUCCAGUGGGGACGACUGUCCUGUGAGGAAUGUGAGCUACUUUAGCCUGAGACCCUGACAAAAAGGCCAGGAGAACCUGGGAGGGCCUGACCCAGGGCUCUGACAACAUUGAUUUGCUGAAUAAAUCAAUUCUGCCCUAAAUCCAGGAUUCUUCUCAUGUGAGAUGAUUGUUUAUCUUUAUUGUUCAAGGAAUUGUUUUUUGGUUUAUUCUGUUACUUGCAGCUGAAUGCAUGCCAACAGGUACAACUGGUACAGGGGCCAUGCCCUGAUUUCUCCUGCACACAUAUGUGACCUGCAGUACACUACUCACACACACAUGCACAACAUUCUUCUUUUUAACCCCCUGCAGUGUCUUGUUAAUACUGAAGGUGCUAUUGUCUCCUUUUAACAGAGUGAGAAAGAGGCUCAGUGAGUGAUUUCUUUUAUGACAAAUGAUUGUGGUGCCGUGCCUCCUGGGUUUUAGUUGCUGUAAUUCUCCCAGUAAUGUUGGAAAUAGAAAGAAUUCAAAUUUGUGUUUCCACACAAGAUGUGACACUGUCCUCUUUGAAGAUCUUAGCAUUGGCCGGAAGUCUUAGGCAUUGCGUUGGUUAAUUUUAUGUGUCAACUUGACUAGACCAUGGGAUGCCCAGAUAUUUGGUCAAAUGUUAUCUUGAAUGUUUCCAUGAUGGUGUUUUUGGAUGACCUUAACAUUUAAAUCAAUAGACUGAGUAAAGCAGAUUGCACUCCUCAAUGUGGGUGGGCCUCAUCCAAUCAGUUGAAGGCCUAGAUAGGACAAAAGGCUGACCUCUCCUACUGCCCCCCAAAUUAAAAUAAAUUACUCCUGCCUGACUGUCUUUGAGCUGAGACAUCAGUUUUUUUUCCUUGCCUUCAGACUCAAACUGAAACAUCGGCAAUUCCUGAGUCUCACAUGUGCUGGCCUUCAGACUGGAACAACACAAUCAACUCUUCUAGGUCUCCAGCCAACUGCAGAUCUUGGGACUUGUCAGCCUCUAUAAUUGCAUGAGCCAAUUUGUUACAAUAAAUCUGUUUCUAUACAUAUUUGCAUCCCAUUGGUUCUGUUUUUCUGGAGAACCCCGACUAAUAUAGGAAUCAUCUAACUUUGAAGCCAGCAGGGUUUCCUUCUCGAUGCAGGAAGGGAACUGGAACUGACAGGUUCUCUGUGGCCACUCUGUGCCAGGCACAGACACAGUAUCUCAUUUAAUCUUCUAACAACCCCGAGAGGCUGGUCCUGCUGCUGCCUCUUAUCAGUGGAGGGACUGACACUCAGAAGCAGAGUGGCUUGCCCAAGGCUGCACAGAUGGCAAAAGCAGACCUGGGAUUUGUGGGUUUUCUGUUAUAUCGAACUGUCUGGGCGAUGCUGGAGAAAUUUGUGGGAGAGCAAAUUUUUUGUUUGUUUUCUCGUCCAUCCUUAAGAGAACUGUCUGCUUUCUUGUUUGGUCCUGACACCUAAAUCACCCUUCCAGCUCAGGGUCCCCCCUGCCCUCUUCCAGAGUUCUUGUCAUUCACUCAAAAAGCUGAGUAAUUUACAAAGACAAUUCCUUGGCAGAGUCAGAAGACGUUUGCAGCGUUUCCAGCCAAAUGCAGAUGAUUCAUUUUUAGCCUCAUGUGAGAAUUUUCUUCUGCCCCUACAACCUAUAUUUUUCUUUCUCCUCUCUUCUUUUUUUGGUUUUAGUCUUAACCUCCCCCACCUUAUUCCUUCCACCCAUGAAAGCAAUUUUAACUUCAUGAAACUAAUUAAAGUUUUAUAUGCCUAUGUUCCUUCACUGGACUGAUUGUAGAUUUCUUAGAUUGAAAUGGAACCAGGCCAAGAGGGAAAUGUCUCUAGGACUUUCUAACAAAUGUGGGGUUGUG
rnacentral:lncRNA from 1 species